rnacentral:rRNA from 1 species
AACGAACGCUGGCGGCAUGCCUAACACAUGCAAGUCGAACGAGACCUUCGGGUCUAGUGGCGCACGGGUGCGUAACGCGUGGGAACCUGCCCUUAGGUUCGGAAUAACUCCCCGAAAGGGGUGCUAAUACCGGAUAAUGUCUUCGGACCAAAGAUUUAUCGCCUUUGGAUGGGCCCGCGUUGGAUUAGCUAGUUGGUAGGGUAAAAGCCUACCAAGGCGACGAUCCAUAGCUGGUCUGAGAGGAUGAUCAGCCACACUGGGACUGAGACACGGCCCAGACUCCUACGGGGGGCAGCAGUGGGGAAUAUGGGACAAUGGGCGAAAGCCUGAUCCAGCAAUGCCGCGUGAGUGAUGAAGGCCUUAGGGUUGUAAAGCUCUUUUACCCGGGAUGAUAAUGACAGUACCGGGAGAAUAAGCUCCGGCUAACUCC